GGGGAAUUUUGGACAAUGGGCGCAAGCCUGAUCCAGCAAUGCCGCGUGCAGGAUGAAGGCCUUCGGGUUGUAAACUGCUUUUGUACGGAACGAAAAGCCUCUCUCUAAUACAGGGGGGUGAUGACGGUACCGUAAGAAUAAGCACCGGCUAACUACGUGCCAGCAGCCGCGGUGAUACGUAGGGUGCGAGCGUUGUCCGGAAUUAUUGGGCGUAAAGAGCUUGUAGGCGGUCCGUCACGUCGGAAGUGAAAACUCAGGGCUUAACCCUGAGCCUGCUUUCGAUACGGGCAGACUUGAGGGAUGUAGGGGAGAACGGAAUUCCUGGUGGAGCGGUGGAAUGCGCAGAUAUCAGGAGGAACACCAGUGGCGAAGGCGGUUCUCUGGACAUUUCCUGACGCUGAGAAGCGAAAGCGUGGGGAGCAAACA
rnacentral:rRNA from 1 species